rnacentral:rRNA from 1 species
GAUGAACGCUGGCGGCGUGCCUAAUACAUGCAAGUCGAGCGAACAGACGAGGAGCUUGCUCCUUUGACGUUAGCGGCGGACGGGUGAGUAACACGUGGGUAACCUACCUAUAAGACUGGGAUAACUUCGGGAAACCGGAGCUAAUACCGGAUAAUAUUUCGAACCGCAUGGUUCGAUAGUGAAAGAUGGCUUUGCUAUCACUUAUAGAUGGACCUGCGCCGUAUUAGCUAGUUGGUAAGGUAACGGCUUACCAAGGCAACGAUACGUAGCCGACCUGAGAGGGUGAUCGGCCACACUGGAACUGAGACACGGUCCAGACUCCUACGGGAGGCAGCAGUAGGGAAUCUUCCGCAAUGGGCGAAAGCCUGACGGAGCAACGCCGCGUGAGUGAUGAAGGUCUUCGGAUCGUAAAACUCUGUUAUUAGGGAAGAAUAAACGUGUAAGUAACUGUGCACGUCUUGACGGUACCUAUCAGAAAGCCACGGCUAACUACGUG